UGGCACGGAAAUUGUGAGAUUUUCAAAAUGGGUUUUUUUAAGGGGCUACAAACUUUAUUGAACAAUUCUGAUGAUAUGUAAAGGUCCAAUAAGGGUGAUACAGAUUUAUGCCAAACCCUGAUCAAAUUUUAUUGUGGCAUUGUAUCACAUCUGCAGCAACGAAAACUUUAUGUUCUACUUAAAACACAUGACGCCAUCGAUAUUGGUGGGGAGGGGAAAUGUUUGGAAUCUUGAUUGGCCGCAAGAAGUCAUUUCGAAAAUUAUCCAACACAAACCAACAAAAACAGUGUAAUAUUUGACAAGUAAAAUAGUAAUUUAAUAUCGAACACACUAACAUUUUCACAGGAAUGGCUAAUAAUUAAUUCAUCUACUUCACAAACCAUUUAUUAAAUAGAAAGAAAAACACUUCCAUUCCGAUGAUUUAUCACGUGAAUCGUGUUUGAGGAGCCUUGUCAAAUGCAGUCACCUUUACAUGUUUAGUUAAUCUGGAAUAACAAACUAAGUACAUAUACACAAAUAAAUGCGUCGUAAACAAAUUCGUUACGAACGCCGGACUUAAUUUGCUUAAUACAA